rnacentral:rRNA from 1 species
CGUUGCACUAUCGUUAACUGAAUACAUAGGUUAACGAGGCGAACCGGGGGAACUGAAACAUCUAAGUACCCCGAGGAAAAGAAAUCAACCGAGAUUCCCCCAGUAGCGGCGAGCGAACGGGGAGCAGCCCGGAGUCUGAAUCAGCUUGUGUGUUAGUGGAACGGUCUGGAAAGUCCGACGGUACAGGGUGAUAGUCCCGUACACGAAAGCACACAUGCUGUGAACUCGAAGAGUAGGGCGGGACACGUGGUAUCCUGUCUGAAUAUGGGGGGACCAUCCUCCAAGGCUAAAUACUCCUGACUGACCGAUAGUGAACCAGUACCGUGAGGGAAAGGCGAAAAGAACCCCGGCGAGGGGAGUGAAAAAGAACCUGAAACCGUGUACGUACAAGCAGUGGGAGCCUCUUUAUGGGGUGACUGCGUACCUUUUGUAUAAUGGGUCAGCGACUUAUAUUCUGUAGCAAGGUUAACCGUAUAGGGGAGCCGAAGGGAAACCGAGUCUUAACUGGGCGUUAAGUUGCAGGGUAUAGACCCGAAACCCGGUGAUCUAGCCAUGGGCAGGUUGAAGGUUGGGUAACACUAACUGGAGGACCGAACCGACUAAUGUUGAAAAAUUAGCGGAUGACCUGUGGCUGGGGGUGAAAGGCCAAUCAAACCGGGAGAUAGCUGGUUCUCCCCGAAAGCUAUUUAGGUAGCGCCUCGUGAACUCAUCUUCGGGGGUAGAGCACUGUUUCGGCUAGGGGGCCAUCCCGGCUUACCAACCCGAUGCAAACUACGAAUACCGAAGAAUGUUAUCACGGGAGACACACGGCGGGUGCUAACGUCCGUCGUGAAGAGGGAAACAACCCAGACCGCCAGCUAAGGUCCCAAAGUCAUGGUUAAGUGGGAAACGAUGUGGGAAGGCACAGACAGCCAGGAUGUUGGCUUAGAAGCAGCCAUCAUUUAAAGAAAGCGUAAUAGCUCACUGGUCGAGUCGGCCUGCGCGGAAGAUGUAACGGGGCUAAACCAUGCACCGAAGCUGCGGCAGCGACGCUUAUGCGUUGUUGGGUAGGGGAGCGUUCUGUAAGCCGUUGAAGGUGUCCUGUGAGGGGUGCUGGAGGUAUCAGAAGUGCGAAUGCUGACAUAAGUAACGAUAAAGCGGGUGAAAAGCCCGCUCGCCGGAAGACCAAGGGUUCCUGUCCAACGUUAAUCGGGGCAGGGUGAGUCGACCCCUAAGGCGAGGCCGAAAGGCGUAGUCGAUGGGAAACAGGUUAAUAUUCCUGUACUUGGUGUUACUGCGAAGGGGGGACGGAGAAGGCUAUGUCAGCCGGGCGACGGUUGUCCCGGUUUAAGCAUGUAGGCGGAGGUUCCAGGUAAAUCCGGUACCUUGUUAACGCUGAGGUGUGAUGACGAGGCACUACGGUGCUGAAGUGAUAAAUGCCCUGCUUCCAGGAAAAGCCUCUAAGCAUCAGGUAACACGAAAUCGUACCCCAAACCGACACAGGUGGUCAGGUAGAGAAUACCAAGGCGCUUGAGAGAACUCGGGUGAAGGAACUAGGCAAAAUGGUGCCGUAACUUCGGGAGAAGGCACGCUGAUAUGUAGGUGAAGUCCCUGCGGACGGAGCUGAAAUCAGUCGAAGAUACCAGCUGGCUGCAACUGUUUAUUAAAAACACAGCACUGUGCAAACACGAAAGUGGACGUAUACGGUGUGACGCCUGCCCGGUGCCGGAAGGUUAAUUGAUGGGGUUAGCGGCAACGCGAAGCUCUUGAUCGAAGCCCCGGUAAACGGCGGCCGUAACUAUAACGGUCCUAAGGUAGCGAAAUUCCUUGUCGGGUAAGUUCCGACCUGCACGAAUGGCGUAAUGAUGGCCAGGCUGUCUCCACCCGAGACUCAGUGAAAUUGAACUCGCUGUGAAGAUGCAGUGUACCCGCGGCAAGACGGAAAGACCCCGUGAACCUUUACUAUAGCUUGACACUGAACACUGGUCCUUGAUGUGUAGGAUAGGUGGGAGGCUUUGAAGCGUGGACGCCAGUCUGCGUGGAGCCAACCUUGAAAUACCACCCUUUAAUGGCUGGUGUUCUAACGUAGACCCGUGAUCCGGGUUGCGGACAGUGUCUGGUGGGUAGUUUGACUGGGGCGGUCUCCUCCCAAAGAGUAACGGAGGAGCACGAAGGUUGGCUAAUCCUGGUCGGACAUCAGGAGGUUAGUGCAAUGGCAUAAGCCAGCUUGACUGCGAGCGUGACGGCGCGAGCAGGUGCGAAAGCAGGUCAUAGUGAUCCGGUGGUUCUGAAUGGAAGGGCCAUCGCUCAACGGAUAAAAGGUACUCCGGGGAUAACAGGCUGAUACCGCCCAAGAGUUCAUAUCGACGGCGGUGUUUGGCACCUCGAUGUCGGCUCAUCACAUCCUGGGGCUGAAGUAGGUCCCAAGGGUAUGGCUGUUCGCCAUUUAAAGUGGUACGCGAGCUGGGUUUAGAACGUCGUGAGACAGUUCGGUCCCUAUCUGCCGUGGGCGCUGGAGAAUUGAGGGGGGCUGCUCCUAGUACGAGAGGACCGGAGUGGACGCAUCACUGGUGUUCGGGUUGUCAUGCCAAUGGCACUGCCCGGUAGCUAAAUGCGGAAAAGAUAAGUGCUGAAAGCAUCUAAGCACGAAACUUGCCCCGAGAUGAGUUCUCCCUGAGACUUUAAGUCUCCUGAAGGAACGUUGAAGACGACGACGUUGAUAGGUCGGGUGUGUAAGCGCAGCGAUGCGUUGAGCUAACCGAUACUAAUGAACCGUGAGGCUUAACCUU